AGAGUUUGAUCAUGGCUCAGGACGAACGCUGGCGGCGUGCUUAACACAUGCAAGUCGAACGAAGCUUGAUUACGGAUUCUUCGGAUGAAGUAUGAUAUGACUGAGUGGCGGACGGGUGAGUAACGCGUGAGUAACCUGCCCUUCAGAGGGGGAUAGCGUUUGGAAACGAACGGUAAUACCGCAUAAUGUAUUUUGACCGCAUGAUCGAAAUACCAAAGAUUUAUCGCUGAAGGAUGGACUCGCGUCUGAUUAGGUAGUUGGUGGGGUAACGGCCUACCAAGCCGACGAUCAGUAGCCGGACUGAGAGGUUGAUCGGCCACAUUGGGACUGAGACACGGCCCAGACUCCUACGGGAGGCAGCAGUGAGGAAUAUUGCACAAUGGGCGCAAGCCUGAUGCAGCAACGCCGCGUGAAGGAAGACGGUUUUCGGAUUGUAAACUUCUGUUCUUAGUGAAGAAUAAUGACGGUAGCUAAGGAGCAAGCCACGGCUAACUACGUGCCAGCAGCCGCGGUAAUACGUAGGUGGCAAGCGCUGUCCGGAAUUACUGGGUGUAAAGGGAGCGCAGGCGGGUGAUCAAGUCAGCUGUGAAAACUACGGGCUUAACCCGUAGACUGCAGUUGAAACUGUUCAUCUUGAGUGAAGUAGAGGUUGGCGGAAUUCCGAGUGUAGCGGUGAAAUGCGUAGAUAUUCGGAGGAACACCGGUGGCGAAGGCGGCCAACUGGGCUUUAACUGACGCUGAGGCUCGAAAGUGUGGGGAGCAAACAGGAUUAGAUACCCUGGUAGUCCACACUGUAAACGAUGAUUGCUAGGUGUGGGGGGUCUGACCCCUUCCGUGCCGGAGCUAACGCAAUAAGCAAUCCACCUGGGGAGUACGACCGCAAGGUUGAAACUCAAAGGAAUUGACGGGGACCCGCACAAGCAGUGGAUUAUGUGGUUUAAUUCGAAGCAACGCGAAGAACCUUACCAGCACUUGACAUCCAACUAACGAAAUAGAGAUAUAUUAGGUGCCCUUCGGGGAAAGUUGAGACAGGUGGUGCAUGGUUGUCGUCAGCUCGUGUCGUGAGAUGUUGGGUCAAGUCCCGCAACGAGCGCAACCCCUAUCCCCAGUAGCCAGCAUUUAAGGUGGGCACUCUGAGGAGACUGCCAGGGAUAGCCUGGAGGAAGGCGGGGAUGACGUCAAAUCAUCAUGCCCCUUAUGAUUUGGGCUACACACGUGCUACAAUGGCGUAAACAAAGGGAAGCGAACCCGCGAGGGUGAGCAAAUCCCAAAAAUAACGUCCCAGUUCGGACUGUAGUCUGCAACCCGACUACACGAAGCUGGAAUCGCUAGUAAUCGCGGAUCAGAAUGCCGCGGUGAAUACGUUCCCGGGUCUUGUACACACCGCCCGUCACACCAUGGGAGUCAGUAACGCCCGAAGUCAGUGACCUAACCGUAAGGAGGGAGCUGCCGAAGGCGGGACCGAUGACUGGGGUGAAGUCGUAACAAGGUA
rnacentral:rRNA from 1 species